rnacentral:lncRNA from 1 species
AAUAUCCACUUGCAGACAUGACAAACAGAGUGUUUCCAAACUGCUCCAUCAAAAGAAAGGUUAAACUCUGUGAGUUGAACACACACAUCAAAAAGAAGUUUCUGUGAAUGAUUCUGUCUAGAUUUUAUACGAAGAUGUUUCCUUUUCUACCAUAGGCCUCAAAGCACUUGAAAUCUCCAGCUGCAAAUUCCACAAAAAGGGUGUUUAACAUCUGCUCUUCUAAAGGAAAGUUCCACUCUGUGAGUUGAAUACACACAGCAGAAAUAAGUUACUGAGAAUUCUUCUGUCUAACAUUAUAUGAAGAAAUUCCGUUUCCAACGAAGGCCACAAAGAGGUCCAAAUAUCCACUUGCAGACGUGACAAACAGAGUGUUUCCAAACUGCUCCAUCAAAAGAAAGUUUAAACUCUGUGAGUUGAACAGACACAUCACAAAGUAGUUUCUGUGAAUGAUUCUGUCUAGAUUUUAUACGAAGAUGUUUCCUUUUCUACCAUAGGCCUCAAAGCGCUUGAAAUCUCCACAUGGAAACUCCACAAAAAGAGUGUUUCAAAUCUGCUCUUUCUGAAGGAAGGUUCA